rnacentral:misc_RNA from 1 species
AAGUCGUAACAAGGUUUCCGUAGGUGAACCUGCGGAAGGAUCAUUAUCACGUAUCCACGUAUAAACCAAACCGCGAACUGUCUUGCCUCUCUUGUCGGCUGCUGGGGGGAAAAAUUCAUUUUUUUCCUUUUGGUGGAAGGCUUGAGUUGUAGUUUUCUUUCAACUUAUUAACCAAUUGAACCUAAAUUUUUUAUUUGUAAUUCUGAAUUGUUUCUUACUCUACUUGCAAAAGCGGAGAAGAAAUUCGUAGAUAUACGAAACUAAGUACAACUCUUAGCAACGGAUAUCUUGGUUCUC